rnacentral:rRNA from 1 species
GCAAGUCGAACGGCAGCACGAAGAGCUUGCUUUUUGGUGGCGAGUGGCGGACGGGUGAGUAACACUUAGGAAUCUAUCCAGUAGCUGGGGAUAACCCGGAGAAAUCCGGGCUAAUACCGAAUACGCACUAUGGUGAAAAGAGGGGGAUCUUUCGGGACCUCUCACUAUUGGGUGAGCCUAAGCCGGAUUAGCUAGUUGGUGGGGUAAUGGCCUACCAAGGCGACGAUCCGUAGCUGGUCUGAGAGGACGAUC